GGAAAAUCCAAACGCAGCCAAGGGGUCUCCCGCACCCCAAACCACGUCCCAUCCACAGGAGCUGUCAAAGGAACCACUUGGAGACCCACCCCUGCUGGCCUCACCCUCUCAGGGCAGCUCCCAUCCCAUCCACUCCGCCCCGCUGGACCUUGGCACUGUCCAUGCCAGGCGGAGUGUUCCAGCGGCACUGACCGUGGGCACCUCGGGCAGGGACUUUUUAUCUCCCCAGCGUAGGGUGUGGCCCAGGGACGGGAAAACCCAGAACAGGACUUGCUGUGCACAGCUCUGGCAGCUCACACGCACUGCAUUUCUCACCUCCCAGCUCAGAGUCCCAGGGGCGGUGCCAGGGUCAAAACCCAGGCUGUGCUACCAGGUCACGUGCCAACCUGCCUGCUGCCACCACCUCCAGCCAUGGGAUCUCUUGGGGGCUCUGCAGGAGGAAGUAAUGCAGCAACUCCUCAGUUCCUGAGUCACAGACCCUCGAGCUGGACCUGCCUGGCUGUGGGUUAAUGAUCCUGCAGAGACAGCAGCUGUCCUCACGCCAACCUCCUCCUCCAGCCCCUCCUCAGCUCCCUACAUCAGCGCGACAUCAGCGCCCCACAGCCAGUCCUGGCUCUGUAAAGCCACAUCUUUUCCCGGACUACAAGGACCCCGAAGACGGCUAAGGGCCAAAGAUGUCUAACCUCCAACGGCUGGAGGUGUAGCCGGGAGGCAGGGAGGAGAAGCUAGCGGAGAACGAGGUUAGAUCACAGUCAGACCACGGAUCAGACCACAAGACGCCGGGUGCUGCAGCAGGGCACGAGAGGACCCCUCCAGCGACCCCCGCAGCCUGCCCACCUUGGCCACCAGCCUGACCCCCAUCGGCCCCCACACGAGCCCUCCAUCACGAACCUUCCACACAGAAUUCCACCUCCUCCAGGUUCCGCAGAGUAAUGCGCAUGAGACUGGAGUUGAGCAUCAGUUCGUUCUUGUGAGCCGGCCACAGGUACGGGGGUGCGGGGUUCACGAAGAAGAUCCGGGUGUCCCCAGUGGACACCUGGUUGUCACAGAUGAGGGGGUCUCCAAAGCCGCUGAUCACCACCUUGUUGCCGCCGUCCAGCAGGCUCUCCCGGGCCACCAGGUCUUUGCCCUUCAAGUACCUCCAGACCCGGACCUGGGGUGGACAUGGGGGUAGGUGUCAUUAGUCCUUGCCUGGGGAGGGGGCUAGACGGGGGCUUCAGCUGCUCAGUACAAUGUCCACAGUAGAUUCAAGCCCUGCGCAGAGAUGUGGGGAGACCUCUGGUUAACCCCGCUGGGUAGAGGCUGGGUAGGCACACCCAUGGCGGCCACAGCCCACGCAGGAACGCUUAGGGGGUGCGCCGCCUGUGAACACAUCGCCCCUCCGGGAAGCAGCUCCCAUCCCAGGUCUAACCAACUUCAGCCACCCCAGCUCCAAUAACGUCCCUCUUAGCUGAGGCUGGACUGGGGAAGGGGGCCCACCUGGCCCCGGGUGCCUGCCUCCCAUCCCCUCCCCACCUGCCCACCGCUCAGAGCCCACCUCCCGGCAAUCCUGGGCAGUGGCCGUGGAGGACUCAGGUUCAGGGUAAGGGGGCAGCAUGGCUCCUGGUGGCUCUGCUCUCGGGAAGGGAGAGCCCCUUUUCUGGGCUCCUGCUCUGUGCCGUCAGGGCAGCCCCAGAACCACGGAAUCAAGUUUGGGCAGCACAGGGCGCCCCACCCUCCACCUUUUCAGCUGCUCUAACGGUGGCCUGUGGUGAGCCAGCAGCAGGCCUGGGGGCCCUCGCAGGAACAGGGACCCAGGCACCCCUUGAAAACGGAGACGGGAGAAGCCCCCUUCAGGAGCUCUGCGAGGCUGGGGCUGCAGGAUGGGGUGAGACAAUGGCUGGCCUGUCCACUGCGCAGCCCCGCGGGGAGCCUCAGGACUGCCGCAUCUGCAGGGACCCCUCCAGCGCCCGGGCAGAGCCGCUUCCAACCCCGCCCCCCCAACAGUAGCUUCAGGAGGCAGAUCACCCAGCAGGGGGAGGGUCUGGUGGCUUUCAUCGCCUUCCCCCACCCCAGCCACACCCAGGAGCAGCGGGGAGGAAGUCGGGAAAAUCCUGCAGGGACCUGGCAAAGUGCCCUGGCCGCUGUGGAGGAGACGGGGCCGGCGGGGGAGCCCAGCCGUAGCCCGCACCGGCCGGCGUUAAAGAGGCUGCCGCCUUCUCCACCUCCGUGGAGGGGAAGCAAGCUCAUUUCUGGUCCCAGGAGUUGGUUUGGGGGGGUACAGGGGAGCCGGCUCUGGGUCUCCCGGGCCCCUGCUAGGAGAAGAUGGUGGGGGGCCCCCAGAGGCACCUGAGGGAGACGCAGGGCAAACUUCCCGGGCUGGGGGAGCUCCGGUUCCCGCAAGAGCGCGACGGGGCACCGGCCCUGCCCCCAGCACACGAGGCCCGGCGACGGCCCCGCCCACUUCUCGGCUCCUGCCCCCCCCACAAUGCGGCACCCCCCGCCCGGCUCCUGGGGUCGGGAGCUCAGGCCGCGCGCCCCGUUUUCUCUCCUGACCACCCCCUCUCGCCCGGGGAAAGGCGUCUCGGGAGGCGACCAGCGGGCUCAGGCCCACCCAGCUCCCCACGGGGCGAAGGCCCCCCCAGGUCCCUCCGGUUCUCCGCGGCGGGGGUGGGGGGCGCGCGGCAGCCGCAGUCCCGGGCGAGGUGCACUUGUUUCCGCGGUCGGGGGGGGGGGCUGCGGUGGAGGCGCGGGCGGGACCCGCAGCAACUUUCCCGGCGCCCCCGCCCCCUCCCCCGGGCUUGGCGGUC